rnacentral:rRNA from 1 species
GACGAACGCUGGCGGCGUGCUUAACACAUGCAAGUCGAACGGAUCUUACUGACUUCGGUUGGUUUGGUUAGUGGCGAACGGGUGAGUAACACGUGAGUAACCUGCCCUUCACUUUGGGAUAACUGUGGGAAACUUCAGCUAAUACCGGAUAUUCAUUUUCUCCUGCAUGGGGGUUUGUGGAAAGAUUUUUUGGUGGGGGAUGGGCUCGCGGCCUAUCAGCUUGUUGGUGGGGUGAUGGCCUACCAAGGCUUUGACGGGUAGCCGGCCUGAGAGGGCGACCGGCCACACUGGGACUGAGAUACGGCCCAGACUCCUACGGGAGGCAGCAGUGGGGAAUAUUGCACAAUGGACGGAAGUCUGAUGCAGCAACGCCGCGUGCGGGAUGACGGCCUUCGGGUUGUAAACCGCUUUCACUAGGGGCGAAUUUGACGGUACCUGGGGAAGAAGCACCGGCUAACUACGUG